rnacentral:rRNA from 1 species
UGAGGAAUAUUGGUCAAUGGGCGGGAAGCCUGAACCAGCCAAGUCGCGUGAGGGAAGAAGGCCCUGCGGGUCGCAGACCUCUUUGGACGGGGAGCAAGGCCGCGGACGUGUCCGCGGAAGGAGAGUACCCGUAGAACAAGCAUCGGCUAACUCCGUGCC